AUGGUUCCAUUCGUUUUUUCACCAUUAAUUUUUGCGUCAGGGAUUUUAGAACUUCUUCAUAUAAGGUCUGUGUUUUUUCUAGGUUUACCCUGGCGUGACGUUUUGAUAACCACGCAAAUCUCUCUCGGACAAGGUAACUUUCGCCUGUAAUUACCCCCCAAAAACGAAAUGCUAAUUAGACGCGGCUAUCAAACAGAACUACACAUCUUGUGGCAAGCUUUGACGUCAUCCCUCAAGGCACAUUUCUCUACGCAAACUCAUCUCAAGUAGCAAGUAGAUAUUAUAGUCUAAUUAGUUUCUUGUGUAAAUAAUUGAGUGUAUUUCUCGUGUGUGUAUUUUAAAAAAUAUAUACAUUUUUCAAAUUACCUAGCUAACUACUUUAGCAUGUUUUAAUUACUUGAAUCUUGGCCUUUGUAGCGAACCAGCUAACCUUAGUACUCUCCGUCGAUCAGAAGCAAGGAUGGUUCUGUGCUACAGUAUAUACCAGUUUAUAACCACUACUCCGAUAAGCACACAUGCAUUUUAUUGUUUUCCGACCUCUGUAAGCGAGAGGCAUCACUGGAGCCGUGCGAUAAGUGACGACACUCGGGUCUGUAGCUGCCAUUUUCCAGUGGAAAAGAGAAAUGGUACCAGAAAAGGUAGGUCAUCCAUCAUGACAGAAGAGGAAGAUCCAGACUGUUGAUUGGGAAACAAGAACAAACAAUGAGGCAUGACGAUUAGGUGUUGAGUAUGAUAAAUAAUGUUUUUUCUGUCCAGAUAAAGAUGGUGAUACAGCAUUAAAAAAGACCUACCACUCACCAAAUGUCUCUUUGCUUUCCACUCCAACAGGAGUGCAUCCCUCAGACUGUGAUGCAUGGACAUUCUGUGUCAGUGUGAUCCGGUUGUGGAGACUACAGCUGAUCGAGCCUGUGGACGGACAGACAUGAGGCGUGACAUGCAGAAACAUCAGGCUCACCCCACGAGAAGCAGUAAAUGAUCAACGCCACCCUCAACAAGGAGAUCUGCUGGAAGUGAUGUACUCUCACUCUGGGGGUACUGACAGGAGGGGCAAUAUGAGUCUGUCAGAGGUUGACACGAUGGAUGGGGAUGGUGAUGGAGGCUUGGUGGUCCACACAACGAAGAAGCAGUGUCCCUUCCAGUGAUUAUGGAGCUGACCUGGUGCCAGUAAGGAUGGUCUUCACGGAAAUCCUUUGACUUCACUGCCUCUUCAAUGACAUCACCCCAUCCAACGACUGAUCUGAGGACCCUUUUUAGUAGCGACGGAGGACAAGUGCAGUUUUUCCAUAAACUUUUAAUUGAUCAAUUGGGAUUUUAUUGCUUAAUAUAUCAAUCAUAUAGUGGGAAGGAUCCUAUACAUGUAGACUGUGUGAAUGCAUGUACCACUGAAUAAAUAAAUACUGUGCCUCUGAAGAUUU